rnacentral:lncRNA from 1 species
UGGCGCCAAUUGGAUACCAUAUACAAAAUAAAAAAUUUGUAAACCUAUAUUAAGCACAUUUUAAUAUUGUAUAAUCGUAUAGUUUAAAUGAUGUAUAGUUGUCACAAUAACUCAUAGGAAAUAAAUCACAACUGAUGUGCAAAACCCGGUUAUAAUAUACUGUACGACUGAGAAUAAAUCAUUUGGUAAAAUAUUGAAACCAACAUUCAAACCAUAUUUUAAAACUUUAAAAUCAAAUUGUUAAAUGGAGAGAGGCGUAUGCAUACCAGAAGGCGGGAAAAGAAGUCCAUCUUUAUGCAGACCAAUAAAUCAAAUCUCAUUACUUCUGAAGGCAAUUGAAAAAAGUUUAGUUUUAAAAGUUUAGAAAAGUUUAGGUACAUAUAAAGAGCUCAAAAGUAUAAGGAAUAUGCUGUCCAAAGUCUUUUUUGGAGCGUUGAAUAUUUCCUCCAAAAAUGCAAUCGUUGACAGUCUGCAAGCAACCCGGAAUAAAGCUUUGCAUAACGGGAGUGCUAAGGACAACUUCAGCGGUAGCUAUAGAAAGCCUACCACCAAAUGGAAAUCGGAGUGGAAAGCUAUGCAGCAAGAUCAGCUGCAAGAUGGGCGACGUUUAGUAAAAUCUAUUGCAAAACUAUUUAAUUUUUUUUAUCAUUAAAUCAUUGGGUGUUAUUUCACUACACAUUUGAAAAAAAAUUUACAUUUAGCUAGAUGCACACCCUUCCUUUUCUUUUUGCAGCCGAUGGCGACCUUUAGUUUUUAUGCGUUAUAUUUGACUGGAUUUAUUCGUUCACUCCACAUGACCGCGUUUAAUGCAAAAGAGCAGAUCAGCACCAAAGCCCUCAAGCCACUACCCAGCUCCUGUUGAAAGGACAAAAAAUCGUUGUUGUCAACAUACAAGUCGCCUGGCCAGUCAUCAACUACGCUGUAGUCGCCUAGUAGUGAGAAGAUUUCGCAGAAACCGUAGUUGGAGUCAACCCACCAACAAUAUCGAACGAAGAGCUAGAAUUAGUCCGUUAAUCUAGAGUGAAUCUGCGCAACUUCGUUCUGGAUGCUGUAGCAGAUUAAACUCGUACUUAUCCAGAAUCGACCCAGACGUACCAGACAUGUGCAAUGGGUCACCUUGAGUGUAACCAUCUUUUUGCAUGCCUAGUGAAUCCACCCUAUCUAACUUCGGUCUGUUCAGACUAUUACCCCAUACCACCGUUUGGUGACUUCAAUGCUAACCAAAUUGAACCUUUCUACCUAAGCGGGGAUUAGAUAACCGUUACAACAACAAUAAUAUUGUCAAGUUUUUAAUUGACAUGUUUUCAAAGUUUAAGUUUUCAUUUAUGUUACCUCUAUGUUCGCUUACUGCGCCAGUUUUAUGUACUGUAUCGUUGUACCUCACAAACCAGUUGAAAGUAUAAUAUUAACAAUUAUUUAAAGUAAAACUGAAGUAUCUACUUGUCAAGUUUUUAUAUUUUGUAAGCAACUCGAACACGUAAAAGUUAAAAAAAGUCUAAUAAAUUUCGUAACUAUUCUGACUAAUAGUAUAGUAUAGGUAUAUUGUUUAGAGACUGUCGCAUAUUGAAUUACAAAGUCGUUGCUGAUAGAUAUGAUGCGUGUUCCAUGCAUAUGGAGAUGUGUUGUUGCAUUUGGAUGACUGUGAAAAGGAAUAUGUUCCUUAACUCUCGCGAGCUACAGGCGUAGGUAUAGCGGCUUUGUAAACAAGAAAGUCAACUGAUACGAAGAAAAAAUAUAUAAAAUAAAUACGAAUAAAUGAAUUGUUAGGAAUUAACGAAAAUGAAUUUGCACUAUUUUCUGUCAAUUAAAACAUUAUUUUAUAUUAUUGUGUUUGCAUUUGAAAUUUUCGUAUAUAUUAUCAACAGAAUAUUCGCCCCACGUUGUUGUGUAUGCAUGGAACCAAUUAUGCCCAAACCCGGUGAAGAAGAAACUGUUCGAGUAGUGGCUUUGGAUCGCAGUUUUCAUUUUGAGUGCUAUAAAUGUGAAGAUUGUAGUUUACUAUUAUCUUCUGAAGCAGAAGGUCGAGGUUGCUACCCUUUAGAUCAGCAUGUACUAUGUAAAAGCUGUAAUGCAAAACGAAUACAAAUGUUAACACAGAGGAUAUAAACUGAAUUAUAACCUAUCUUAUUAUGUUGACAUAUUAAUUUAUGAACUUAAUAAAUAACAAUACAAUAUUUCGUUAUACUA